rnacentral:rRNA from 1 species
GACGAAUGCUGGCUGCGUGCUUAACACAUGCAAGUCGAACGGUGAAAGGGAGCUUGCUCCCUGGAUCAGUGGCGAACGGGUGAGUAACACGUGGGCAACCUGCCCCUCACUCUGGGAUAACUCCGGGAAACCGGGGCUAAUACCGGAUACGACCUGGUGCGACAUCGCACCGGGUGGAAAGAACUUCGGUGAGGGAUGGGCCCGCGGCCUAUCAGCUUGUUGGGGGGGUAACGGCCCACCAAGGCGACGACGGGUAGCCGGCCUGAGAGGGCGACCGGCCACACUUGGACUGAGACACGGCCCAGACUCCUACGGGAGGCAGCAGUGGGGAAUAUUGCGCAAUGGGCGAAAGCCUGACGCAGCGACGCAGCGUGAGGGACGAAGGCCUUCGGGUUGUAAACCUCUUUCGCUAGGGAAGAAGCCACUUAUGUGGUGACGGUACCUGGAUAAGAAGCACCGGCUAACUACGUGCCAGCCGCCGCAGUAAAAC